rnacentral:lncRNA from 1 species
AAAAAUUUAGUAGAAAUAUUCAAUGAAGGCGCUUAAUGGAGACAGUAAUAUUAGCAAUGGAGGAAUUGAAUUGAUAACUAAAACUGCAAGACCAAUUGACUACGAUAGGUUCAAAACAGAAACUCAUCUGUUAGAUGUCUCAUCUUUAGGCAGUGCCUUGUUCUUUUCUUUUUUUUGUUCUUUUUUUUUUUUUGUUUUUGGUUGCACGUCUUGUGACGUUCAUGUAAAUGAACAAAAUUGAUACUUUUGACACAACCAACAAUGGAGAGGUAAAAAGUUAAAAACAGAAGGAAUGUCUUUUGUUAUGUAAUAGAUUUUGCAAGUCAGAAAUUCUGUUCGAGAAUUUGCAACCCAGAAAGUCCGCCAGCAAUUAUUAACAAUCACAGAUAAGCACCGAAUGAAGGCCAAUCUAAUAAGCCAAAAUAUGUAGGGCACUAAAGAAAUUAUUGCCCAGUAACAAAUGAUAGAUAAGCACAUGUGAAACUAAAGAAAUUUUUCCUUACUAUCAACUCCAAAAAAAUAACCUAUACAAUUCAAAAAAUGUUGAUACAUGCCUGAAAUUGGUAUUUGAACCACCAACUACCUCCGUGAAUAUGUUUGUUUGCUUAAUGGUUUGCGUUGAAGUUGUGAAAGGAAAUGCAAUUUCUUAAAAGAAGGAGAAUGCAGAGACAAAUACAGAAUGGUUCACGUGGCCACCCUCAAAACAAUAAUGUCGUAUACAUUAAGCCUGCCAAUUACUAAAAACAAAACAUUUUGCCAUGAGGAGAAGUAAGAACAUACCGAAACUUGUUUGCAAAUAGAUGAGAAAAAUUAUACCUCAAACAGAUGGGAAAUUUAUUAGGAAAGAUAGAUCAGCCCACAUGUGUGUAAUCUAUAUACAAAAAACCACUCUCUUCAUUAGCCAAAUCGUUUCAUAAAUCCAACAACACAUAAUUAUAUCUUGAACAAUGCCAAUUAAUGAUUUCCCAUUUACUUAAGCCGGACAACAAAGCCAAUGAACUGAUGAAAGAGCGAAAAAGAGAAACAAAAAACCUCAAUUAAGCAAUUAAAUGGAGUAUUACUUGAUAGAGCUGGAAAUUACCCAAUUCCUCAGAGAGAGGAUCAAGAGUGACUGAUGAGAGUGCAGAGAAACGAAUUAUUGAGAAAUUCAAGUUCUGAGCUCAAAGUUGGGGCCUCCACUUUCCAACUGGGGAAGAAAUAACAGAGAAAACACAGAGAGAGCCAAUCCACCAAAAAUAUUAAUCAAAUGGGUUUCUUCUAAUUCAAAAUUUGGACCACCCAAUUUCCGAUGAAGCAAUAACCAUUCAAAAUUCCAACAGAUUGAAGCCCUCACAGACUACAAAUUAUCAAUACCCAGCAAUAAAAAAUUUGAAAACAGUAAUAAUGAAGGAAAAAGAAAUUAAAGCUGCGAGCCAUUCUCUAAAUCUCAGGCACCAAUCCAAAUCACCAGUAAUUUGCACAUAAUGAUAAGAAUCUAGCGGUAUUUCCAUUGUUUAAAAACCCAAAUUCAAGAAAUCAUGAAAAAUGGAAACUUUAUUUGGAAAUUGAAGCUUUACCUGCAGAUCAGCAGCAGCAAACGGAAUCCAACGGCAUGUACCUCAAAAGUGAGAGAGAGAGAGAGAGUUGAGAGAUGAGUGAGAGAAUCGAUAAACAAAACCCCCCAAAAUCACAAAAGGAAAAUUGAACAGAAAACAAAUUUGCAAAUCCAAAAUCACAAAAACGAAAUUGAAACACCCACACUGAGAAAGCUGCAAUACUCACCAGGAAGCUAGCUUUUCUGGGUAAAAAAAUUGUUCGAAUCGAAUUGAAGAACCGAGGAAAAUUCUACUGGUUCAGUGGUUUUUCCAGCAAGAAAGCACCUUGUUUGUAAUUCGUGAGAGGUUGGACGGCGAGAGAGAAAAACGUAAAGGAAAGGAAAAGCGGAGAAGAAGUCACGAUUAUCGACGCGUGGGUUGCAUUCCACUGUGCCAAGUUCGAAAAUGAACGGGGAAUGGGGAGCUUGGCUGAGGGAGACAGAAUUCGAGAAGCAACGUUCUGAUUUUUUUUUUUAUAUGAGAGAGGGAAAGAGGAAUGAAGAGAAUCGACAAGAGGAGGAACCAUUUUAAGCGAUGAUGGACGCGUGGGAAUUGAGGGCAAAUUUGCCAUUUUGCUGUGAACCCAAAAGUCAAGACUUGGCUUGGUUUAUAUAAUUAAUCAAUAAUAUUUCAUAACAAGAGCUAGGUCCAUAUAUUAUACAAGGUUCUAAUAUAAUAGAUGUUGUGGCUAGGCGAGGCUUAUUGUCUAUGCGAAUUUAAGUAAAUUUACUCUAUAUUAAAUAAAUAAAUAUAUUUUUACACUUAAAAUGACACAUAAUUGUAUUGUGAUAUAUAAAUUAUAAAAUAAAAUGAUAUAUAUAUUAUAAAGUAUUGGAGACCCAAAUGUGAAAUGACAACUAUAAACAAUUAUUCAAGGUGGACGGUAAAUGAUUCAGCCAUUUACAAGAUUCAAAACGUAGGAUCACGAUCUACUGGAUGAUUGUAUUAACUAUUAGGCGGUGCUCUAAUAUAAUACAUCCAAAUGGGGGUGGACCACAUAAUACACCCAAUAGGUCGUUUUAAGCUACUCCACUGCUAAAACUAUUGCAAAAUGCGCAUUAGGAUUUAUACUUCUAUUAGCUACGCCUUUCCUUACUAGGCAAAUGAACCAUAUAGUACACCAAGAUGGAUGUUAUACACGUUGGAGUUUGAGCAGAAUUCUUUUUGUUAUCAUGUCUCACAUUGCUAGAAUUGAAAAGUUCAUAAUAUAAUAACAUUCACGUAUGAACUUGAGAAACAACAUACUACUGGUUGGCCUGGAAGGUGCAGUGAAGGAGAGGAAAGAAAGUAACAAACACGAAAGGAUAAGGACUAUCCAAUAGAUUAUAAACAAUGACUUCUUGGGGGUGAUUACAGCUAUUCAACCAUCAAUAAUGCAUUAUUUUAGUUUGGAAUUUGGAAGCAUUUGAGAAGUAACAUGACAACAACCACAUAAUAAACAAAGAUGAUUAGAAAAAAGACCCGAAUGUGAAAGAAUAAUUAAAAACAAUUAUUCAAGAUUAGUGAUAAAUGAUUCAACCAUUUACAAGAUAUGAACUUAGAACAACAAUCUAUUAGAUCGUUGUAUUAAUUAUUAAGUGGUGCUCUAAUAUAAUAGAUCCAAAUCGGAACGGACCACAUAAUACACCCAAAUGGAUCAUUUUUAGGCUCCACUGCUAAAAACUAAUGCACCAUGGGCAUUAGGAGUAGACUUUUAUAGCUAUCUUUCCUUACUAGUCAAAUGAACCAUACAAUACACCCAAAUGGAUGCCAUCAUGCCAUAUAUAAACAAUGUUUUGAAAGGACAAGGUAGCUAACGCUGUCUUUUUAUAUAUGUAAGCAACAACCCUAAAUGAAUCUUAUUGGAGCUAAUUAACUAAUGUAUUUAUUAGACAGUUGGAUUCCUUAGCAAGGGGUUAACUAUUUUUGUUUAGAUUAGUAGUCAGGUGGUAAUUAAUUAGUCAAAUGAACCAUAUAAUACACCCAAAUGGAUGUGCAUAUAUAAACAAUGUUUUCGAAGGAUGAAAUGACUUUCUUGCCGGUAUGGGGGAAGAGGAUUGCGCGAAAAUUUUCGCACUAAUCUAAAUAUUGUGUUUCAAGCUUUGAAAAACCAUUGAAGCUUUGAAAAGUUUGGUGAUUUUGUUAGGUUAUGUGUAUGAGUGACAUUAAUAAUUUUCAACUUCCCAAGCAAUUGUUACACAAAAUUAAAUUUAAAAUCCAAGAGGCCGUGGUUACAGCUAUUCAACUUUUGUAGAUUUUCCGGUUUUAUGAGAUUGGCAUUCUUUUUCAACACAACUUCUAUUGAGUUCAUAUAAACUAUUAUAUGAAGGAGAAAUGGUAAAAAGACUCCCUCAAAAUCCCAAAUGUGAUAGGAGAAAAGACACAAAUAUGAAACAAUUAAAAACAAUUAUUCAAGGUGGGUAGUAAAUGAUUCAGUCAUUUACAAGAUUCAAACAUGGGACCACGAUCUACUGGAUGACUGUAUUAACUAUUAGGCGGUGCUUUGAUAUAAUACAUCCAAAUGGGGGUGGACCACAUAAUACACCCCAAUGGUUCGCUAAAAACUAUUGCAAAAUGCGCGUUGGGCUUAUACUUCUAUUAGCUGCGCCUUUCCUUACUAGGCAAAUGAACCAUAUCCAAAAUGGAUGUUAUACACGUUAGAGUUUGACCAUAAUUUUUUUCGGUUAUCUCAUUGUCUCACAUUGCUAGAAUUGAAAAGUUUUAAUAACGUUUGUGUAUGAACUUGAGAGACGACAUACUAUCGGCCGGCGGGGAAGGUGCAGUGAAAGAGAGGAAAGGAAGAAAGAAGUCAACACGGAAUGACAAAGACUAACCAAUAGGUUAUAAGCAAUUACUUCUUGGGGUGAUUACAGCUAUUCAACUAUCAACAACGCAUUAUUUUAGUUUGGAAUUUGGAAGCAUUUGAGAAGUAACAUGGCAACAACCACAUACUAAACUAAAGUGAUUAGAAAAAAGACCCAAAAUGUGAAAGAAUAAUUAAAAACAAUUAUUUAAGAUAAGCGAUAAAUGAUUCAACUAUUUACAAGAUAUGAACUUAGAACAACAAUCUAUUUGAUCGUUGUAUUAACUAUUAAGUGGUGUUCUAAUAUAAUAGAUCCAAAUGGGGACCGACCAUAUAAUACACCCAAAUGGACCAUUUUUAGGCUCCACUGCUAAAAACUAAUGCAAAGUGGACAUUAGGAUUAAACUUGUAUUAGCUAUCUUUCCUUACUAGUCAAAUGAACCAUACAAUACACCCAAAUGGAUGGCAUCAUGCCAUAUAUAAACAAUGUUUUGAAGGGACAAGGUAGCUAACGCUGUCUUUUUAUAUAUGUAAGCAACAACCCUAAAUGAAUUUUACUGGAGCUAAUUAACUAAUGUAUUUAUUAGACAGUUGGAUUCCUUAGCAAGUGGUUAACUAGUUUUGUUUAGUUUAGUAGUCAGGUCGUAAUUAAUUAGUCAAAUGAACCUGCAUAUAACACACGCAAAUGGAUGCCAUAUAUGCAUACUAUUUUUGUUUAGUUUAGUAGUCAGGUCGUAAUUAAUUAGUCAAAUGAACCUGCAUAUAACACACCCAAAUGGAUGCCAUAUAUGCAUAUAUAAACAAUGUUUUCAAAGGAUGAAAUGACUUUCUUGCCGGUAUGGGGGGAAGAGGAAAGAAACUAGCACGAAACUGCAGACCCUAUCGAUCCAUUAUAAUAAAUUUCAAUGGUCCAAGUUGUAAGUUAAUUGUGUAACGUAAAAACUUAUUUACAGUUAUCAACUUAACCACGUACAUGUGGAAGACAUUAUCUCAGAAAACUAGAAAGUUCAAUUGCAACUCUACACAACUGAAAGCAAGGCUCGCUCAAUAGGGCUUGAGUUUUUUUGUAAACUUGCGUAUUUUUGUAAACGCAUCACAUAGUAGUUAAAACAUCCGGCCGUAAAUAAAGGGUUUGAGUGUCACAUCCUAGCUCGGGGCAGACCACUUCCCGGGCUCACUCCACUACCGUAGCAUGAUAUUGUCCGCUUUGGGCCCCGACCACGCCAUUACGGUUUUGUUUCUAGGAACUCACGAGCAACUUCCCAGUGGAUCACCCAUUAUGGGAGUGCUCUGGCCACCUUCUCGCUUAACUUCGGAGUUCCGAAGGAACCCGAAGCCAGUGAGCUCCCAAAAGGCCUCAUGCUAGAUAGGGAUGAGAAUAUACAUUUAAGGAUCACUCCCCUGGGCGAUGUGGGAUGUUACAAUCCACCCCCCUUAGGGGCCUGACGUCCUCGUCGGCACACUUCCGGCCAGGGAUUGGCUCUGAUACCAUUGUCACAUCCCGGCCCGGGGCAGAACACUUCCCGGGCCCGCUCCACCACCGUAGCACGAUAUUGUCCACUUUGGGCUUACCAUUCCCUCACGGUUUUGUUUUUGGGAACUCACGAGCAACUUCCCAGUGGGUCACCUAUCCUGGGAGUGCUCUGGCCCCCUUCUCGCUUAACUUCGGAGUUCCUACGGAACCCGAAGCCAGUGAACUCCCAAAAGGCCUCGUGAUAGGUAGGGAUGAGAAUAUACAUUUAAGUAUCACUCCUCUGAGCGAUGUGGGAUGUCACAAUCCAAUUGUAACAGUGUCAUGAUCAGACUUGUAAGACUGUCUUUAAUAAGAAGUUGUUGCGUUUUGUCAAAACUAGGUAUGGGCAACGGUUAUGGCGGGCGGGUAACCGCGGUUAAUUAUCCAUAACCGUUUAUUCUCAUACAUGCAUAACUGUUUACCCGUUGGGUAAUUGUCUAAACGGUUAUACCCAUACCCAUAACCGUUUAUAAACGGUUAACCAUAACCAUAACCGUGUACCCAUUUAACCGUAACCGUUUAGUACCCAUUUACCCAUUUAUCAUUUUUAAACCCGUUUAUCCUUUCUUUUUUACCAUUUACUCAUUUUUCACGCAUCUACGUGUUUUUUUAACAACUUGAAAAUUAAAAAAGAAAAAUUUGUCAUAAUUUUCUUUUUCUAACAAUUAAACACCGUUGUAGUAUUCAUCAUACAUUUCCGUAUUUUAAUUUUUAAGUCCUUAUACCAUUUCAAUAAUUGAAAUAAUAGUUUACAGACAAUAUUUUUAAUUGUUAGCAAUGAAGGUAAUAUAAAAUUUGCUAAGUAUUCUUUGGUUACGAAAACUGUUAAAAGACAGUAUUCUUGGGUUAUUUAACUCAGAAUGUAUAAUAUAUAUAAUGGACCAUGAAAUUUAAAGUGGUUAAGGAAAACUAUAUUAUAUUAGCUAUAGAAAUCAUGCACUAUAGUCAAUAGCAUUGAUCUAAGUUUUGUCCGAUAGUGAACAUGGUUUGUGUUAAUUUUACAUAUAUAAAAUAAAUGGGUAAAUGGUUACCCGUUUAUAACCACGGUUAAUACCCAUACCGCCCAUUUAAAUUUCACGAGUAAACGCCCAUAACUGUAACCGUGAAAUUUAAAUAGGCGGAUAACCGCAGUUACCCAUAACCAAUGAGUAUUUACCCAUCCCUAGUCAAAACCGGUCCAUCUAAUUACAAAUUGUAACCAUAUUAGUUGAGUGCAUAUGCUACAUCACAUUUAGUGAAUAUUCAGUACGGGUGACACAUGGUCAGACUUGUAGGUUGUUCAUUAAGAAGUUAGUUACCACGUUCUCAAGAGUGGAGCUAGAGGGGAGCACUUCCCUACCAAAGUGUUUUCCUUCUCCCCUUUGCAAGGGAUUUGUGUCACUAUUAGAUAGGAGAUUCAAACACAAGACCUUCAAUUGAGAGGUAAACGCUUUUACAAAGCUUCUACGAGCACCUUCUUGUUUACCAAACUUAUUGAGACUAAAGGAGGUCUUAACGCCAUUUUGGCUAAUACUAUUCUGUAUAUUUACGAAUGGUUUUAAGUUUGGGUUUAAUUGGAUAAUCAGAUAGUAGUGCAUCAAACUAUGGAUAUUCAGAAACCGAAAGCAUAAUUCAUAUUCCUCCAACAAGUCCACGCAAAUAACCACAAUCAGAAUGUUAGUUCAUAACUGGCCAUAUAGAACGCAGUACAAAAGCACUAAAAGCGUCCAAGUGAAAGUGCUUUCUCCUCAUGUAGUUUCAUUUAACUUAGUUUCACAUGCCACUCCGUCACACACUCAACUCCUCAACGUUCGGGCUCAAAGCAUUCUUUAUCCCUUCUGCACGAGAGACAAUAAGUUUAAAGUUCUUGUGAUGAAAUCAUGUAAAACAUUCAGAAAUCUUGAUUUAACCCUUUAUCAAGAUCAUAGGUUGUGUCAUCUCAACUUAUAUCUUAGGUCUUAUGAGUGCUCGUAAUACACUAAUAUGACACUUGUUUUCUGGCCAGGACAGAAACAAAAUCAUGCAGGAAAUUGUCAUGACAACUUCAGUGUAAAAUAAAGGUCGUACCCAGUGCACAAGGCUCCCGCUUUACGCAGGGUCUGGGAGAGGUGAAUGUCGGCUAACCUUACCCCCAUUUAUGGAGAGGCUGCUCCCAAACAACUUCAGUGUAAAAUGCGACCGGAAAAACACUAAACAAGAUUGCUAUGCUCUCUUAGUGUAAACCUUAACAACAAAGACUAUACCGUAUCUGUCACAGUGAUAUGCGACCAUAAGCCCAACUCCAAGAGCUUUGAAGGCUACAAAUCAAAAGUUACAUGCAGUGACGACAUAAUCAUGAAAAAAUACAAUCAUAAAUUAAAGGAAAACAUACCGACUUCUAGUUCUGGCAAUUCACUAUUGGGCCAUAUAUUUGAACCACAGUAUGAUGGAUACCUACAAUACAGAUCACAAAUAAAAUCUGAGCAGACACAAAGUAUUAUGUUCUGUUUACACAAAAUCUGUAAGUUCUCAAAUAGGAUAAAUAAAGAUAAACAUAUCCCAGCAUAAAGACGAUUUGUCCUGGCUAAUUCUAAGAAACCUUGUAUCAAAUGUAUGAUAGUUAUUCAUAACUAACACAAACAAUAGUUUUGCCGAACAUUUCUGGUCUGAGCCGUAUACUGUGUGACCUCAGACAAAACAGAUCCCACAUGGACCCAGAUUAUGAUUGAUGUCCCUAUAGACUUUUACCUUUGAAUUAGAGAUUCAUCUGUUGUAGGGCUUCCAAUAUUGGAUUUGCAUAAAACGAGCCUUUUAACGUAUCUGCAAAACCAGAACAGAAACGGAAAAUGAAUGAUCCUACGUUCUUAGAGUUUCCAAAGAAACAAAAUUUAAAACAAAGAACAUAAAGUGAUACCAGGCUUUCCAGAUUCCAGCUUCUCUUUUCCAUGACUCCAUCCAAAAUUGUACCUAAACAUGGAUGGCAGGUAAAAAGAAGAUAAGCAAUAAGACUUUGUAAAGAUUCCCAAGAAAAGCAAUAAAACUACGUAAAUAUUAGUUAAUAAUGCCAAGACCAUAGUCUGUGACAAAUCCAAGAGUUGAGAUGAGACUAUCUUUCAGGCAGGAAUUUUUGGAAUUUUUCUCUAUUGGGACUAAAAUGAAAGCAUAACAAUGGGACUAAAAUGACUUAGCUACUAUGAGGAUCUUCAAGUUCCUUCUUCACCUCUUCGGGCAGAUUGGCUAAUCUAAUAAACGAAAAGAAAACUCCCAUGAGCAGUGCUAUAACAAACUAUCUUCCUAAAUUCAUUAUGAAUUGCAGUUAAAACUUAAAAUGAACAUGAAAAUCCUACGUAGAAGGGAUAUACCUAGGUGACAAGCCUAGAAGAUUCUCACGCAAGGAAGAAUAUCCCGGAACCUACUGCCAUUAAGGUUGUUAUUAAUAUCAAUUCAUGUAUAUUUCCGCAUGUGUCAUAUUAUUAAGUUAGACAGUGAAAAAUAUAUAUCGGAUGUUAUGAGAAUAUGUGUGGCUGUCAAGCUUGACACGUGAAUAACAUGCUCUCUACUACUUUAUUACACUGUGAAGAUUUUAUCCAAAAUUAAUUGACGAUGAGCGAAUAAACUGAAAGAUUAUGCGCUACUUUGAUUAUGCAACGAGUGAAGAGGCAAUUUACGCCAACCUCCAGUCAAGAAUUUGGACUCACAAUCACUAGCCAAUAUGCUUUUUUCUCACAUUUCCCCUGACACGGCAAGUUCAUUGUUCAAUAUUCUGGUUCUGGUGUCCUAUGACCCUGACACGGCAAGUUCCACUUUUUGUUCAUUUUCUUGACGAAACCAUCACACUUACCCUUACGGCACGGCACGGUUCCGGGCAUAGAGCAUGGAUUGGGUUUCGUUGCAGUCCCGACACUACUUAGCACUGUAGAGAAGGAAAUACAAAGACAAGUUUGGAUUUCUUACAACGUAUUGAGUCUCUCGUCAUGGCUCUUGCUGUGUUGUUCUUAUUUCACAUCCUGUUUCUCGAGUUUGGUGUUUCCGGUUGCAAAUUUGGUUCGGCAGUGUAGUGCUCAAGAGAGGGGACUGUCUCACAUUGUUCCAAGCAGACACAGGCGGUUGACAACGAUUGCGAUAAUGUGUUUUUCUACUGGGAGAACAUACAGCAGUCAGCAGUCAUCUUUUCACAACCGUCUUCAGUAUUUGGAGGCACCUCAAGAAAUUAUCAAGGACAAACGAAUGUAGAAAAGAAGAAAUAUCGAAGUUAGUUGACAAAAGGGGCCGAAAAAUUGUGAGAUACAGAGAAGAAGAUUAGACGAAACUCGAUGCAAAUUUUAAGCUAGAUUAGUUAUUUUUCAUUAACGAGCGAUACAGAGAAGAAGAAACAGCUGCAUUUGGAGAAAGCUGCUUUAGUUGCCUAGUUUGUAACAUUAGCUUUCUGUAAUUCCGGGGAAGAAACAGGAGUAAAAAAAAAACACAAUCAGGCAGUACCAAAAAAGAAAAAUGUACAAUUAGGAACAAUCGCCACUUCUCAAACUUUGUAGUAGAUCCAGGUAUCUGAUGGACUCGGGGCUAAUGUACCUGCAUUAACAAGAAACAAAAAUCAGAUUUGUGGAAGGGAGUCACAUAGUGGUUAAAAUACUUGGCCGUGCAUGAAUGGUUUGAGAUACCAUCAUAGAGGCAUCCUCCAGGUGUGAGUUUCUCUCGUAUCUGAUCACUUAUUAUAAGAAUAUCAGUAGUGAAAGUGAAAUACCCGUGUCGGGAAAGGAAGUCAAUGAUGACAAAAGAGCAAUUUGGCUUGAAAUAUUGUGUCCUCCGUAUGAUGCUUGCAACAUGCAUCACCGAAUCCACUUGAAGCUCUCCACCUCUCCAUCUGUUAAAUGUUUCAUAAGCAGCAUUGUUAAAGUUCUCUCUAUUUGGGGGGAUAUUGCAGAUGGUUUUGAAUGAAGAAAGGCAAAAAUUCAUGCAGAAGGCAUAAUUUACAACUAGUUUUGUAAAAGCUAAGCUCUAAAGGUCUCACCUUGAUUCUUUGGCACAAAUAGCUAAAGUUUUGAGAUGGGACAAAAUGGGUCCCAAGACCCACAUACAGCGCAUCCGAUGGUGUUGAAAUCCUUUUCCCAGUAAGUCAAAGAUAAGCGCCAAGAAAGACAUGACAGUGUUAAACUUAAAACAAAUACAGAACUAAGAAUUGAUGCAUGAAUCAAACAGAGAAAUGGUACAGGCCAUUCUCUUUAUAUUCUUAUAAUCUAAACAUUUCUCCUUAUCAACACUGGAAAAACAGCUUGCUUCAGUCAUAGGAAAUAAAUUGCGCCUGGAGUAUAGAAAAGACAUACCUACAGAUCCUCCUCCUGGACUCUUUGCCGCUAUACGUGAAAACCCAACAUCUGGGAACAAACAAAUUACAUUCUCUGCCAUAGCAAGAACAGUCCUCUGAAAUGUAUCCAUACAAAGUUAAGACACAAAAAAUUCAAAAAGGCAAUGUAAUUCACAACAUUGACAAUCUCUGUCUGACAAGGCAAUAAUACCUCUGUAAUGAUCUGGUAGUGACCGUGACCUGAUAGGCCAACACCAAAGCCCAUUGUUAUGCCAUCCAUGAAGAUAGGGCUUCUUGUACUCAGAGAUUUUGCAUAUUAGAGAAUACUCAGCAGUGAAUACCUGAAAAACAUGCAGCACAAGUAUCAUACCGGUAGCCUCUCAAUCUUAAGAAAUGGUAGCUUAGAAAAGAUAUGAAUCCUAUCCAACCAAUACAAAUCAUAUUACCCAAGUUCAAGCAAAAUCACGACUAAACAAAUGAUCAGAUGUUGUAGGUUGCCCGAGAAUGUCAAACAUGAAAUUACAAAAGAAAAAAAAACAAUCGUAUGUAUUGAACAUUAAUAAAUACUUGCUGAAAGCACAAUCUUAGCUGCAAUUUAUGACAUUUAUACGAGAUUGAAUAGCCAAAGCAAUUAAAGAAGUAGCAGAACUCAUAUAAGUGAUUUUCACUUUGAACUUUUAGGCUUAUCAGCAAAUACAUCAUUACGAUUCUAACGCAUGAAUUUUGUUAAAAGGGGCUUGCUUGCUUGUAUUAAGGCUUAAUCAUCAAUGAUUUUGCAAGGGUCAAUCGUCUUGCUAGUUGUAAAUCCAUGCACUAUGAAAAUUACCAAAAUUACAUCUUAUAUGGUAGAGAAGGAAGUCAUCUUAUAUUAUCUGGAUUUUAGAAGACGGUGUAAGGUUAUAAGUCUGUUAUUCUAUAUAGUUUAAAGGACACAAUUAGACAACAAUCAUAUUCGGUGGUUGGUUUUUGGCCGUGAUCUGCUUCACAUCACCGCCCGCAGGUAAUCUAAAUCUGGGUUAUUACUUAUCAAUGAAUCAAAGUGCCAACUUAUCGGACACCAACUAUCUCUCUAUGGCAAAAAAAUAACACAAAAAGGAACAAUGAAGUGAAACAAUAAACAACAUGACAUGAAACAGCACAAACAUCAAAGACCAACAAUCUAUCACAUAAGCACCUAAACAAGAAACAACUUUAGUUCAAAGCAAAGCGUAAUGUAGAAACCUUCAGCACAAGAGGCGUGUUUUUGUCCUUUUGAAUUUCGGCAACAACAACUUUAAUAUCCUUACCUGCAUUUACCAUGAUUGGUCACUCUCAAAACCUUACCUAAGAGACCCAAAAACCAAAAUAACUGCUAAAAGAGCUGAACAUACAUAUCUAGAAAAACUUAUUCAACUACAUGCUAAAAUGGAAGUGUAAAAUUGCCAGGAAAGAUAAGAAACUAUUCAAAUACGAGUUCUGGGCGUUACCGCCACAAAAGGCACGAGCCGAGCGGCUAUCAACAAGAACACACUUCACAUUUGGGUCAGAUUCCCAUUCAUCCAGAUAGCUCUUGUAUUUCACAUCCAAAUCUGCAUUUUCCAACAAUUCCCACUUAAACAGAAACACAAAAUUCUUCCAAAAAGAGCUAACUUCUUUGAAAUUUGAAUCCAACGUUUCGUCUUAUAACAAAUGCAAUAACAUAGAUUUGUAAUCAAUACGAUGCCAUAAAGUUCAAGCUCAAAAAUUCAAAUCAUCUCCAAAUCAAAAGCAAUUACAGAUAUAUACAUAUAUACAUAUGCGUGUGUGUGUUUAUCUACAUACCUAGGUUUAUGGCGUUGAGAGCUCGGGGGGCGACCGAGGGUGAUGACGGCGACGCCAAAGGUGCGGAGAAGGCGAGGGGAUUUGGAGGGUUUUGUAAAGAGGGGAUUUGCUCAGAAUUUGGGUCGCUCGUCCCUCUUAUGAGAGUGAUUCAAAAAUCGAAAAAGUUGAAAUUUAUUGAUUGUGAUCUGACUCAAACAUGUGAUGAUGACGAUGCAUCACAACCUUGGUUGUGCCUCUGGAUCAAAAUCCUGUUCCAUCAAAUUCGUGCUCAUUUUCCUUCAUAGGUUUGUCCCAUACUAGAUUAACCCCUGUUCCCUUAAUUGUCACAUUACCAUAUUUACUGUAUGGCUCUGGCAUUUCAAAAGUUAUAUCAACUUUAUCCCCGCUUUGCAAAUUGAGCUUAUCAUUCGAUAUUUGUCCCUGCCAAAGAUAACAUUUUCCAGAUACAUUGCACAUUUUUAUAACCCAAUCUUCUUUGCCUAUGUAGGUCUGCAACUCAGUACGCUUGGUAUUAUUUAUAUCAAUAUUGGCACGAGGAUGACAUUCUCCACAACUGGCAUAAGGGCUUCUUGACUCAUUAGUAUUUGAGCAGUAAAAGCAUAAUAGAGUCAGUCCUUCCAAAUUACGACCAUCACUCGGGAGGAUAUCAAAACUGACUUUAUUACCAUCGUUGACAAACUCGAACCAAUCAGGAACAUAAUUCCCAUUGAGAAAAAUGCCAUCACUUGGGAGGAUAUCAAAACUGACUUUAUUACCAUCGUUGACAAACUCAAACCAAUCAGGAACAUCAGGAACAUAAUUCCCAUUGAGAAAAAUGCCAUCACUCGGGAGGAUAUCAAAACUGACUUUAUUACCAUCGUUGACAAACUUGAACCAAUCAGGAACAUAUUUCCCUUUGAAAAAAAUAUCCGCAAGAAGUCCAUCCCUACAUAUACAGUGCAAGUGUCAUAUUUAUAUAUAUACACACACACAAUGUACAUGUGCGUUGUGUGUGUGCAUGUGCGCAAUAGGAAGACAAUUAAAGAGAGAUACCUUUAGGACGUUACUCAUAAAACCAGCGGUGAGUUUGGGGCAGUACCUCAUAUUAAAAUGUCGUGGAGUUUAAUGACUUAUCCAAGUCUGGAACCUCAGUGAGUGCGCGUGAAUCACAUACAUGUAGCUCUCUCAUAUUCGACAUUUUCGAAAAAUUGGGCAUUGUUACCAAACGGGAGCAAUCAGACGCAUACAGAAAUUUCAAAUUUGUUGGUAAACCAUAGAUUGUAUGAAGGUUACGGCAGUAAUUUAACUGCAAACGUUCAAGCUUUGAAAAACCAAUGAGGCUGGGUAAGGUAUGAAAAUCAUUACAUGUGAGACACAAAUCUUGCAAAGAAAUUAGACUCCCAAAAUCUUUUGGGAAUGCAUCAUCGCUUAAGCGCUGGAAUGAGAGAUCUAAAUUUCUUAAAGAGUCUAAGCCGUGUAACGAAUUGGGAAAUUGUGUGACAUGCCCCCUUAAAAUGAAAUCAGUGGUAAACCAUGAUUUCCGUAGAAAUAAAUGAGUGAGAUUCUUCAAUCUUACUGUGGAACGCGGUACUUGUCUUAUGGCUGUUUCAGACGCUUUAAGUACUCUCAAUGAUAUCAUCUUCCCUAAAUCCUCGGGCAGUUCAUUGAAUCGCCUACAAAAAUCAAGAACAAGAGUCUGAACGGAUUUGGACUUGUAGAAAUCCCCAGGAAGAGAAAUAAGAUUAUGGCAGCAUGUGAGGUUCACCAAAGAAAGUUUUUUAAGCUGACCAAUGGAGGGGUGAAUCUCGAACAAACUCUCACACCUUCCCAAUAUCAACUCUUCAAGACUUGGGAGAUUUGAUAAGUCUGGUGAUUUUUUUAAGUCACAGCAAUUACUGAGAUUAAGGAUUUUCAAGUUUUCAAGCGACUGUUGCACAAAAUCCAAAAGGUCAUACCCAGUGCACAAGGCUCCCGCUUUACGCAGGGUCUGGGAGAGGUGAAUGUCGGCUAGCCUUACCCCCAUUUAUGGAGAGGCUGCUCCCAAGUCUCGAACCCGAGACCUACCGCUUAUGGGCGAAGGCAUUUGUCAUCGCACCAAGUGCGACCUCUUUGGGGAAAUCCAAGAAAAAUUAAAAUUAAUAUCCAAAAGGAAUAUCUCAUAAAAUAAAUAAAUAAAUAAAUAAAUAAAGAGAGAAGGAAAUCCAAAAACAAAUAGAAACUUAACAUCAUCAUGUGUAAUCGAUUGUACCUUGGAGCCCUCCCAAACUUGUACCAGUUUGCUAUGCUUUAUCUCUAAAAUAACUAGUGUUCUUGGUUGAUCAAAGAAGUCAUCUGGUAUGGACUCUAAAAGGUAUCCUUCCCAACGCAACCAUACUAACUCUUUGGGGAGAUGUUUGUAUUCUCCAUUGAGCUGCACGUUCUGGAGCAUGAGCAGUCUCAGUUUCUUCAUAUUAGCAAAUGCUUCUGUACUGAUACAACUAGACUUUAAAGGGAAUUCUCCACGGAGCUGCACGCGGUGGAUCAGUCCCAGUUCCCUCGAAUUGGUAGGGAAACUUACAACAAGUCCUUCAACUUCUUUAGUUCCCUGUUAACAACACAUUAUACUGGGUAAGAAAAGGAUUAUGUGCAUCUAUUUUACGUGAUUUUGCUAAUUGAGCUUCUUAAUGCAAAUACAUAUAUUUACACAUGAAUUUUUUAAUGUAUAAUAGGCAUACGUGGGUUACAUAUAUGCUUUUCUUGUACGAUGCAUUAAUACAAAUUUUUUUUGGGAAUCUACUUACAGAUUUAUUUGUUAGUACAUCAUAGACAUCUCCAGGGAUCCACAACCUGCUCCAUUCUCCAGGGGGACGAGUGGAUUUUUCAGAAAUGAUUAAUUUGGCCAUUUCUCGAAGCAAAUCAUGCAUAUUCAACUUCUUGUCUUCAACAGUUAUAAGGCAUCGUUCACGGAGGUUACUGAUUCCUAUUGUUGCAAAAAACUUACAUUCAUCUAAUAUUUUUGCGACAUCGUCCUUAUCCCAUCCAAUAAAGAAACAAGAUAUGUCAAGGAAUAUAUCCUUCUGCGUAGGAUCUAGCCUUUCAAAGCUUACUUUUAGCGGUUUCAUUAUUCCUUCAUCAUGAAAUUUUUUCAAUUUCUUCAAUUGACUUUUCCACUCUGCUGGGGUUCUUUCAGUCAUAGAAGAACCUAAAACUUCAAGGGCUAGUGGCAAACCACCACAGUAAGAAACCACCUCUUUUGAGAGUUCAAGAUAUCCUUCAUUAGGCCAACUAUUUCCAAAGGCAUGCCAACUAAAGAGCAUCAGGGCUUCUUCUUCAUUCAUUUCUUGAAGCGGAUAUGUCUUGUCCACUUUCAUGUUCACUUGCUUUAGUAAACGUUCAUCUCGUGUCGUUAUGAUAAUUCUACUUCCUGGGCCAAACCAAUCACGAUUUCCAGCCAUUGCAUUUAGUUGUUCCACUUUGUCUACAUUGUCAACAAUGACAAAUACGCUUCUACGUCGGAGAUGAUUUUUUAUCAGACUGAUACCUCCAUCAACACUGGUUAUCUUAUUAGACUCGGUCUGUUUCAAGAUGUCAGAAACAAGUUUUCUUUGCAAAUCAACCAGAUCAUAUUCGCUAACGUUGGCAAGGAAACUUUUGAACUGGAACUUAUGAUGAAUUUGGUUAUAAAUGGCUUUGGCAGCUGUUGUUUUACCCAAUCCACCCAUCCCCCAAAUUCCAACCAUGCGUACAUCUGAUCCACCAUUUGAAAGAUAAGUGAUGAUAUCUUGAAUGCGGGUAUAUAUUCCAACUGGGUGCUUGGCCACAUGUAAUUUUUCUGCGCUCGGAAGCCAUUCCGGGAUAAUCUUGUCAACAAUUUCUCUAAUAAGCUUUGCUUCGCGCCUGAAAAUUGAAUUCGUAAGCGUUAGUGGGACUCAAUGAACAGUAGGAGCUAUCAGUACAUAGACAAUUGUCUUUACUUCAUAAAAGAAAGAAAUUCAUUCACUAAAAUGUUUCAAAACUUGAAAAGCAGGUGAAUGAUUACCCAUUGUUAGUGAUUUGAAGAUGUUGGCCAAACAAAUUUGCAGCUUCUGUAAGAGCCUUUCUCCAUUGCUUUACCCUUUCUUGUUUAGCUUCACGUUCCUUGUCAUCUUUUUCUUCAUGGAUGCCCUCUUCGUGCUUCUGAAAUGCUUGAGCUAAAUCUCCGUUCUGCUUCCUAAUGUGAAGGAUCAACAUGAUAGAAUAUUGGCAAAACACGUCGCCCCAGUUUGUAUCUGCACUCCAUGAUCUUCACCAGCUCGUCAAGACACCAACUCGAGUCCGCAUAACUCUUUGAGAAGACAAUGAUAGAGAUCCUCGCCUCUUUGAUUGCCCGGACCAGUUCCUCUUUUAUUUCUUCCCCUCUUUCUAGAUCGUCCUCAUCGAUAUAAGCCUGGUAUCCCCUGUCAGUUAAUGCCGCAUGGAGGUGGCCCGUGAAACCAUUGCGUGUGUCUACACCGCUGAAUCUCAAGAACAUGUCGUAAUUCCAAAGUUUUGACUUGGAGGACGAUGAAGAGGAGGCUUCGUGGGUCGUCAUGGCGGUAUCCACCGUUAUGGCACUGCAGUGGUUCAGAUCACGACUGAAAAAUGGCAGUAGUUGUGCUCAUGCUGUCGAACGAAUGAUCCUGAAAUACCUAAAACCCAAGUCAAGCUCCUUCAGUCAACAAGAAUAAAGUUUUAAUAUAAUAAUGUUGGUGUAUGGACUUGAGAAACGACAUAAUGUUGGCCGGAAAGUGCAGAGAAAGAGAGAGGAAAAGAGGAACAAAAGGAGAAAGACUAUCCAAAUGAUUCUUGGCUGUGAUUACAGCUAUUCAUAGGAGAAACAACGUACAUAUUUUCAUAGGAGAAACAACUUGCCCAUCUUCAUAUAUAAUACAUUUCAACAGACAUAUUUUAAUAGGAGAAACUAGGGGUGGGCAAACGGGUCCAGGAACCGCAGGUCGGGGCGGGUAAUGGCGGUUCAGGGCGGGUACAGGCCGGGUCUUAUUUUUUUAAAGAAGAAACGGGGUGGGGGCGGGGAGGUGGUAUUUAUGGGGCGGGUCGAGUUCAAAUUUGUACAAGCAUGGGGCCCCGGGCCGACCCGUUCCUAAAAUGGACUGAUUGGAACCUGGACAAUAUGUUGUGGGCUUACUACACAAGGCAAUGGCCCAUGUGGGCUUACUGCUCGAAUACUCUAGAAACUAUGAUCCGACUCCUAUCUCUCCUGGAUCGAUCCCCAAAUCCCACUACUCUCUCUCCUCGUCGGCAUCACCGAACACAGAACCACCGAUUCACCACCAUCGUCACCCAUCACCGCCGUGGCGACCAUCACCAUCGCAGACGCUAUUAACCGUUAGUUUCACCCUAGGUCUCCCCUAUGUCUAUCACUCAAGUCCUCGAUCGUUUCUCUCCCGCGUGCGUCAUUCCCUCCACGGUUCUUCCACUACACUCUGUCACUCUCCGUCACUCUCCGUCAGUCACCUCCUCCACCACCCCGACAUCAACCCCGUCGCGAGUCUGGGCCCUGGCGACCACCACGACGAGCCAGCAACCUCGAUUGUCUUCCUCGAGUCCUCGAUGGCAUCCCAGAUUUAGAGAACUUUAGGGUUCUCUUUCUCCCUCCCACCCCUCGAAUCGACUGCGUCGACAUCAAAUCAGCCACCACACGAGUCACGAGGCUUCAAAUUCGGCUGGUGACUGCCCAAUCUGGUGCGACUCAACCGAUUCCGAGCGCUCUUGACUCUGUCGACGAAGAAGAAGAAGAGAAGAAAAAAAAAAAUAACCCGUGGACCCGGGCCGGGUUAGGUCAGGUUUCUGUGUUAAAAUUAGUUGUACCCGCCCCUGCCCGACCUGUUUCUUUUAAACCUGGGUCCGGCCGGUCCCUUCAAAAUUGGGCCCGGCCCUGGGCCCGGCCCGGCCCAUGCCCAGCCCUAGGAGAAACAACUUUAGUUUUUACUAGAAAUUUUUACCCACACGUUGCUACAGGAUUUGAAAUUGUAUAAAAGAUUAUCUUUGAAAUAUAUAAUAGAUUGUGUGAUUGAAGAUUAAUACUAUUUACACUGAAAACGUUGGGAAAAGUUUUACAUACAAAAGAUUUUACAAUACAAUCCACAUACAAAAGAUGGUAAAUUUUUUUCUAUCUACAUGCAUUAUGUUAUGGAAUGAUAUAUAUAUAACUAAGUUCCAGAAUACGUAAAUUUCAUAAUUUCGAAUUUUUUUGACAAAUUAAUCAGAUUCAACUGUGGGAUAGAAAGGUCGCCUAUAAAGUUGUGAAGUCGUGGAAGCAUAAAGGACAAAUAACAAAUGAGUUUUGAGAAAUUAUUCCACAAAAGUCAUUUUGCAAAAUGCAAAUGUAUUAAAGACGAUUGGUACAAGAUUAGUAAUCAUAAGUAGUGUAACAACAUCAACAAAAUAACUAUAAACCAUAGUUGAACAUAAUUCAAAUUUCGUUUGCAAAAACAAAAGAAAAAGAAAGAAAACAUACUUACAAUAAUUCAGCCUUUAAUCCUAAAGUCCUACUCAAAGAUCCAAACUUGAAUGCAAGCUUUCUGAAAUCUUCCAAACAAUACAGAUAAAAAGGUAACACCCUAGUCAGAAAUGAACCAAGGUGCGAGCUUUCUUAGAAACUCAGAUGAAAAAAUCAACAAAAUAGAAUGAAAAAAUGACUUACACUUUUAAGGCAUGCUCGAAUCGUGAUCUAAAAUUGGUGGUGGGUCGAUUGUUGGUCACCAACUCUAAAUGAAGAAUUCAUCAGAACCUAGAAAUUUAACAAAGAAUUUUCCAAAAUCAACAUUUACUAAAAACCAGUUACUUGGUUAUCAUGCAUGAUGGCUUGCCAAAGACUAAAUUAAGGAAUGCACAACUUUACCUUUAUGAUAUUUUCAAUGACAGCUAAAAGGUCAGAUUCAAAUGAAAAUAAAAGUUAGGACUUCACAAAACCAAUUAAAAAUCUAAUUCCAAAGUUACAAACACCAACCAAAUGAUUCCAGAUAAAGUUUUAAACUCAAAGUCAGACCCAAAUGAAAUUAAAAGUUAGGACUUCACAAAACCAAUUGAAAAUCUGAUUCCAAAGUUCCAAACACCCACCAAAUGAUUCUGGAUAAAGUUUAAACUCAAAAACCCAACAGAAACAAAAACCCAAAGUUCCAAACACCCACCAAUUGGUGUGACUUAAUUGUAUCUAAUUGAAGAAACUAAAACAAAAAUAAAGCAAAGUAUAUACCUCAAAAUAUCAACCAACUAAGUUCUUCCUCCGACAACCCAAAACUCUGAAAAUUCCACACAAAAAGGGUAAAUCCGUAAGCAAUUCAUAGCUUUCAAAAUUAACAAAAACUUGGGCAACAAUAAAGACACGUUGAGAACCAUCACUCUUUCUCCUUGUGUAUUUGAAAAUAUAUUUUAUAAGCAGUUUAUGUAGUCAUUCUGAUCAUGUUGCAGUUAAAUUCCUUUUCCACAGAGUUCAAAAUUAUAUGGCAGUUUAUGGCAUCUGUUGAACAACAUGGUUGAAAGAUUUAAAAUUGAUACAUUCAAUUUUUAUGUGUAAAACUAUAACAUAUACCUAAAGCUAUUUGGUCUAUAUAUCCAUAUCAAUCAUGUUGUAAUUAAAUGUUUAUCGAUGUAAAUAGAUGAUUUCAGUCAUGUGAUAACAUGUUUCUUGUUAGUAUACGCUGAAGUUUGGUCUAAGUUGGAUAAAAAUCGACCAAAAUCUUAGUAAGAGACUCUUUUAACUUUUAACCAAAAAAUGAGCACCACAAUACUACACUCAUAAGUUUUAUCAUGCACAAAAUAUACAACACUGAUAGCCACUUUUAGAGCAAGAACAAUACUUUACCAGACGAAAACAACAAAACACUCAAAACCCAGAAACAGAAACACACUUAGGACUCAAACUCCUCAAAAACAUAAGAAAGAGAGUGCAUGAGGAGAGAGAAUAAAAAAAAAUAUUAUUUUUCACAAACUCAAAAUUGCUUAUAAAAUUACAAAUCAAAACAAAUGAAUGCAAAUCCAAAAUUGCCCUAAAUUAAAUCUGUUUAGUUAAAUGUUUGUUGCCCUUCAAAUGUCAUUACACCUGACAAUUGCUUUGAAGUUGAUAUUUUGGUCAAUCCAGGGGAAAAGGAGUUAUUUCUUUUGGAGCAGUUGUCAUGGAGAAUCCCAUCUCCAUGUUGAAUGAUCUAAAAAAUUACUUACAUCUUCUGGUGGCCACAAUAAUUUAGGAGGCCCUUCUCUCCAGAUUUUCUCAAUAACUUUGCUUUUCGUAGCUGGUAAGAUUGCAACUCCAAGAAUUGCUCUGAAGAGAUAUAUACAAACAAAAUCAACCUAAAACUAAGCUAUUGGAACAAAUUUGGAAAACACAAACACCACUACAACUCAGAGUUAAAGUCAAUAGAAACCAAAUGGGAGAAGUUGAAAAAAUAUAUGGUCAUGAAUCGAGAACUUCAUCAAACUAACAGCAAUAAAAUCUCAUAUAAUCUGUCUAAAACCAAAAGAGAGAGAGAGGUAAUUUCAAGACCUUGUAACGCUAAGGCCUCGUACAGUUGUAGUAAUAAUAUAUGGUUGAUGCACCUGUUGCUCAAUCAAAUCCUUUGUCUGGCUAAAAAAAUAAAAAUCUAUAAAUACAUUCACGUCCAAUUUAUGAGAAAUCAUGGGAAAGCAAAUGCACUGAUAACGGAAUCAUGAAUAUGAAGAACUUGCCAAAAAGAAAAAGAAAACUUCUUAUAGUGUGCCAAGAACAUCCUCCUACUCCUAGCAAAUUUUUUAUGGCAUUAUCCACUUCUCAAUUCAUAAUUCAACCAGUAACUCAAAGUCUAUAGUGUAUGAAAAAGUGAUAUCUUAGUUGAUCACGAUGAUAAUUAAGCAGAUUAAAUGACGACCCAUAAAGCAUACAAAUUCAGAAAAGAAAAGGUUCAAAACUGCCAUAAGAAAACACAGAAUAUAUAAACGGGAAAUCAAAAGAAGAGAAGCGAAAAGGAAGAAAAAACCAAACAAAAUUAUUAGGUUUGUGAUAUACCUUUAUCCGAAACGCCACAAUCAUCAAAGUCAAACAUAAACAAUCCAAAAAUUUGUGGAAAAUAACAAUAAAUGCUUAACUAAAAACGAAAGAAAACGUAGAAUAAGUUUACAUGUUCUCCCCCUAAUUAAACUGGAAUACAAUUCACCACUAAUAUUCUCGUCAUCCUCUUCAGCCUGAAAAAUUUAGUAGAAAUAUUCAAUGAAGACGCUUAAUGGAGACAGUAAUAUUAGCAAUGGAGGAAUUGAAUUGAUAACUAAAACUGCAAGACCAAAUGACUACAAUAGGUUCACAACAGAAACUCGUCUGUUAGAUGUCUCAUCUUUAGGCAGUGCCUUGUUCUUUUUUUUUCUUUUUUGUCCUUUUGAAUUUCGGCAACAACAACUUUAAUAUCCUUACCUGCAUUUACCAUGAUUGGUCACUCUCAAAACCUUACCUAAGAGACCCAAAAACCAAAAUAACUGCCAAAAGAGCUGAACAUACAUAUCUAGAAAAACUUAUUCAACUACAUGCUAAAAUGGAAGUGUAAAAUUGCCAGGAAAGAUAAGAAACUAUUCAAAUACGAGUUCUGGGCGUUACUGCCACAAAAGGCACGAGCCGAGCGGCUAUCAACAAGAACACACUUCACAUUUGGGUCAGAUUCCCAUUCAUCCAGAUAGCUCUUGUAUUUCACAUCCAAAUCUGCAUUUUCCAACAAUUCCCACUUAAACAGAAACACAAAAUUCUUCCAAAAAGAGCUAACUUCUUCGAAAUUUGAAUCUAACGUUUCGUCUUAUAACAAAUGCAAUAACAUAGACUUGUAAUCAAUACGAUGCCAUAAAGUUCAAGCUCAAAAAUUCAAAUCAUCUCCAAAUCAAAAGCAAUUACAGAUAUACACAUGUAUACAUAUGCGUUUGUGUGUUUAUCUACAUACCUAGGUUUAUGGCGUUGAGAGCUCGGGGGGCGACCGAGGGUGAUGACGGCGACGCCAAAGGUGCGGAGAAGGCGAGGGGAUUUGCUCAGAAUUUGGGUCGCUCGUCCCUCUUAUGAGAGUGACUCAAAAAUCGAAAAAGUUGAAAUUUAUUGAUUGUGAUCUGACUCAAACAUGUGAUGAUGACGAUGCAUCACCACCUUGGUUGUGCCUCUGGAUCAAAAACCCACCAUCACCAUCAAAAUCGUGCUCAUUUUCCUUCAUAGGUUUGUCCCAUACUAGAUUAACCCCUGUUCCCUUAAUUGUCACAUUAUCUAAUGUAACGUAUGGCUCUGGCAUUUCAAAAGUUAUAUCAACUGUAUCCCCGCUUUGCAAAUUGAGCUUAUCGUUCGAUAUUUGUCCCUGCCAAAGAAAACAUUCUUUAUAUACAACAUCGCGCAUGAGGUUUUUUCUUUUUUUGGCGUAACAAUCGCGCAUUUUUAUAACCCAAUCUUCCUUGCUUAUGCAGGUCCGCAACUCAGUACGCUUGGUAUUAUUUAUAUCAAUCCUGGCAAGAGGAUGACUAUCUUUACAUCUGAUAUAAGGGCCGAACUGAGAAGGACUUGAGCAAUAAAAGCAUAACAGAGUCAGCCCUUCAAAAUUACAACCAUCACUCGGGGGGAUAUCAAAAGUGAUUUUAUUACCAUCGUUGACAAACUCGAACCAAUCAGGAACAUAAUUCCCAUUGAGAAAAAUGCCACCAUAUCCGCAAGAAGUCCAUCCCUAUAUACACAGUGCAAGUGUCAUAUAUAUAUACAUGUACAUGUGCGUUGUGUGUGUGCAUGUGCCCAAUAGGAAGACAAUUAAAGAGAGAGAUACCUUUAGGACUUUCCUCAUAAAAUCAGCGGUGAGUUCGGCGCAAUACGUCAUAUCAAUCCAUGUCAUGGAGUUUAAUGACUUAUCCAAGUCUGGAACCUCAGUGAGUGCAUGUGAAUCACGUACAUUUAGCUCUCUUAUAUUCGACAUUUUCGAAAAAUUUGGCAUUGUUAUCAAACGAUAGCAACGAGACGCAUCCAGAAAUUUCAAAUUUGUUGGUAAACCAUAGAUUGUAUGAAGGUUAUGGCAGUAACCUAACCACAAAUUUUCAAGCUUUGAAAGACCACUGAGGCUGGGUAGGGUAUGAAAAUCAUUAGAUGAGAGAUCUAAAUUUCUUAAAAAGUCUAAGCUGAGUAACGAAUCGGGAAAUUGCAAAUGAGUGAGAUUCGUCAAUCCUAGAGAUAAAUGAGUGAGAUUCUUCAAUCUUACUGUGGAACGCGGUACUUGUCUUAUGGCUGUCUCAUAUGCUUUAAGUACUCUCAAUGAUAUCAUAUUCCCUAAAUCCUCGGACAGUUCACUGAAUUGCCCACAAAAAAUCAAGAACAAGAGUCUGAACGGAUUUGGACCUGUAGAAAUCCCCAGGAAGAGAAAUAAGAUUCUUGCAGCCUGUGAGGUUCACCAAAGAAAGUUUUUUAAGAUGACCAAUGGAGGGGUGAAUCUCGGACAAACUCUCACACCAUUCCAAUAUCAACUCUUCAAGACUUGGGAGAUUUGAUAAGUCUGGUGAUUUUUCUAAGUCAGAGCAACCACUGAAAUCAAGGAUUUUCAAGUUUUUAAGCGACUGUUGCACAAAAUCCAAGAAAAAUUAAAAUUAAUAUCCAAAAGGAAUAUCUCAUAAAAUAAAUAAAUAAAGAGAGAAGGAAAUCCAAAAACAAAUAGAAACUUAACAUCAUCAUGUGUAAUCGAUUGUACCUUCGAGCCCUCCCAAACUUGUACCAGUUUGCUAUACUUUAUCUCUAAAAUAACUAGUCUUGGUUGAUCAAAGAAGUCAUCUGGUAUGGACUUUAAAGGGCAUUCAUUCCAACACAACCAUAUUAACUCUUUGGGGAGAUGUUUGUAUUCUCCAUUGAGUUGCACGUUGUAGAGCUGGAGCAGUCUCAGUUUCUUCAUAUUGGCAAAUGCUUCUGUACUGAUACUUGGAGACAGAAGAUCAGGGAAACCUACAACAAGUCCUUCAACUUCUUUAGUUCCCUGUUAACAACACAUUAUACUGGGUAAGAAAAGGAUUAUGUGCAUCUAUUUUACGUGAUUUUGCUAAUUGAGCUUCUUAAUGCGAAUACAUAUAUUUACACAUAAAGGUCGUACCCAGUGCACAAGGCUCCCGCUUUACGCAGGGUCUGGGAGAGGUGAAUGUCGGCUAGCCUUACCCCCAUUUAUGGAGAGGCUGCUCCCAAGUCUCGAACCCGAGACCUACCGCUCAUGGGCGAAGGCACUUGCCAUCGCACCAAGUGCGACCUCUGAAUACAUAUAUUUACACAUAAAUGUUUUUAAUGUAUGACAGCUAUACGUGGGUUACAUAUUUGCUUUUCUUGUACGAUGCAUUAAUACAAAAUUUUAUAGGGAAUGUACUUACAGAUUUAUCUCUCAAUACAUCAGUGACCUCCUGCUGGUUCCACAACCUACUCCAUUCUCCAGGGUGACGAGGGGAUUUUUCAGAAAUGAUUAAUUUGGCCAUUUCUCGAAGCAAAUCAUGUAUAUUCAACUUGUUGUCUUCAACAGUUAUAAGGCAUCAUUCACGAAGGACACUCAUUCCUAUUGUCGCAAAAAAGUCACAUCCAUCUAAUAUUUUUGUGACAUAGUCAUUAUCCCAUCCAAUGAAGAAACAAGAUAUGUCAAGGAAUAUAGCCUUCUGUUUAUCAUCUAGCCCUUCAAAGCUUAUUCUUAGUCGUUGUAUUAUUUCUCCUUCAGGAGUUGUUUUCAAUUUUACCAAUUGAUUUUCCCACUCUGCUAUGGUUCUUCCAAUUAAAAAAGUGCCUAAAACUUCAAGUGCUAGUGGCAAACCUCCACAGUAAGAAACGAUCUUCCUUGAGAGUUCAAGAUAUCCUUCAUUAGGCCAACAAUUUCUAAAGGCAUGCCAACUAAAGAGCUCCAGAGCUUCUUCUUCAUUCAUUUUAUGAAGCGGAUAUAUCUUGUCCACUCCAACUUGGCGUAGUAAAUGUUCAUCUCGUGUCGUUAUGAUAAUUCUACUUCCUAAGCCAAACCAAUCACAAUUUCCAGCUAUUGCAUUUAGUUGUUUCAUUUUGUCUACAUUGUCAAUAAUGACAAGUACGCUUCUACGUUGGAGAUGAUAUUUUAUCAGGCCGAUACCUUCAUCAACACUGGUUAUCUCAGGCUUGGUCUGUUUCAAGAUGUCAGAAACAAGUUUUUUUUGCGAAACAACCAGAUCUUUUUCACUAACGUUGUCAAGGAAACUUUUGAAUUGGAACUCAUGAUGAAUUUUGUUAUAAAUGGCUUUGGCAGCUGUUGUUUUACCCAAUCCACCCAUCCCCCCAAAUUCCAACCAUGCGAACAUCAUCUGAUCCACCACUUGAAAGAUAACUGAUAAUAUCUUGAACGCGAGAAUUGAUUCCAACCAGGUGAUUGGCCACAUGUAAUUUGUUUGCUCUCCGAAGCCAUUCCGGAAUAAUCUUGUCAACAAUUUCUCUAAUACGCUGUGCUUCGCAACUGAAAAUUGAAUUGGCAAGCUUAGUAAGCUCAGUAGGAGCUAUUAGUACACAAACAAUUUUCUUUCCUUCGUGUGUGUGUGUGUGUGUGUGUGUGUGUGUGUGUGUAUACACACUAACUAGCUACUAGCUAGUAUGUGAGUUUGUGAUCAACUUCAAUAAAAGAAACAAAUUCAUUCACUGAUAUAUUAAAGUUUGGUGUAUCAAUUAAACUCAUUAUGGUUUAGAUUUUAGAAGAAAUUGGAGAAAUGGUCCAUGAACUAUGAUCGAAUUGUAGCUUUGGUUCUUAAACUAAAAAUUCAUUAAAUCUCGUCCCUGAACUUAACAAAAUAUGGAACAUUGGUCCCUCCAUGUUAACACCGUAAGAUUUUCUGUUAAUUUGAUAACGUCGUCUUUGUGGGCUCCAUAUUUUUGUUUAUUAGAUGCCACGUUGCUUGAAAAUUCAAAUAAAAGAAAAUAAAUACAAGCAUUGAGAAACAAAGAGAAAAAAAAAUACUUUAAAUUAUAAAAGUUAACUCUCUCCCAUCCUCCCUUCCGCCUCACCUUCUCCAAACCCCAGCCACACCAUUGUAGCACUUUCCCAACAGCCAAAACAAAAGAAAAGUUCCUCAUCCAAAUUUGGAACACACCUCACCUUGCAAACGACUUCACAAUGACAUUCAUCUACGCUGUCUCGAAAGGUAAGAUUCAAGAAAUUUGUGGGAUGCGGGUUCGGGGUUCGGGUGAAGGCUGUGGUCCGUGGGCUAAAGGUUGGGGUCGGCUGGGGAGUGGGGAUUAGGGAUUGGGGGUUGGAAGUGGGAGGUUGACGGGGUGGGAAUCAACGAUUGAAGGUGAAGGGGUGGGCUGCGAGCCUGCGAGUGUUGGUGGGAUGAGGUAGGCCUGCAAUUAUAUAUAUAUAUGUAUGUAUGUAUGUAUGUAUGUAUGUAUGUAUAUAUAUAUGUAUGUAUGUAUAUAUGUAUAUAUAUGUAUGUAUAUAUAAUAUAGGUGAAACUAACAUGUAAAGUUGUAAACACUUUUAACUAAAACUGAAAGGAAUUGGUUACGAAGGACUAACGCUCCAUAUUUUAUCAAGUUCAAGGACAAAAUAUAAUGAAAUUUUAGUUUAGGAACCAAAGCUACAAUUUUCCUCUAGAUUUGAUAUGAGAUUUAAGGCGUAUUAAUUAAGCAUGUUAAUUAGAGUAAUGCAACUUAGAUAUUGAAAAGCACGUGAAUGAUUACCUAUUAUCAGUGAUUUGAAGAUGGUAGCCAGACAAAUUUGCAGCUUCUCUAAGAGCAUUUCUCCACUGCUUUACCCUUUCUUGUUUUUCUUCACGUUUCUUGUCAUCUUUUUCUUUACGAAUGUUCUUUUUGUGUUUCUUAAAUGCUUGGGCUAAAACUCCAUUCUGGUUCCUGACAUGUGAAGGAUCAACGUGAUAGAAUAUUGGCAAAACAUGGCGCUCCAGUUUGUCUCUGCACUCGAUGAUCUUCAUCAGCUCAUUAAGACACCAACUCGAACUCGCAUACCUCUUUGAGAAGACAAUGAUAGAGAUCUUCGAUUCUUCGAUUGCCUGGAACAGUUCUUUUUGUAUUUCUUCCCCUCUUUUUAGAUCGUCCUCAUCAAUAUAAGCCUGGUAUCCCCUGUCCGUUAAUGCCCUGUGGAGGUGGCCCGUGAAACCAUUGCGUGUGUCUACACCGCUGAAGCUCAAGAACACGUCGUAAUUCCAAAGUUUUGACUUGGAGGACGAUGAAGAGGAGGCUUCGUGGGUCGUCAUGGCGGUAUCCACCAUUAUGGCGCUGCAGUGGUUCAGAUCACGACUGAAAAAUGGCAGUAGUUGUGCUCGUGCUGUCGAACGGAUGAUCCUGAAAUACCUAAACCCAAGUCAAGCUCCUUCAGUCAACAAGAACAAAGUUUUAAUAUAAUAAUGUUGGUGUAUGGACUUGAGAAACGACAUAAUGUUGGCCGGAAAGUGCAGAGAAAGAGAGAGGAAAAGACGAAUGAAAGGAGAAAAGACUAUCCAAAUGAUUCUUGGCUGUGAUUACAGCUAUUCAUAGGAGAAACAAUGGACAUAUUUUCAUAGGAGAAACAACCUGCCCACUUCAUUUAUAAUAUAUUUCAACAGAGAUAUUUUAAUAGGAGAAACAACUUUCGUUUGUACUAGAAAUUUUUACCCGCGUGUUGCUACGUGAUUUGAAAUUGUAAGAAAGAUUAUCUUUGAAAUAUAUAAUAGAUUGUGUGAUUGAAGAUUAAUACUAUUUACAUUGAAAACGUUGGAAAAAGUUUUACAUACAAAAGAUUUUACGAUACAAUCCACAUCAAAAGAUGGUAAAUUUUUUUCUAUCUACAUGCAUUAAGUUAUGGAAUGAUAUAUAGAUAUAUAUAUAUAACUGAGUUCCAGAAUACGUAAACUUCAUAACUUGGAAAUUUUUUGACAAAUUAAUCAGAUUCAACUGUGGGAUAGCAAGGUCGCCUAUAAAGUUGUGAAGUCGUGGAAGCAUAAAGGACAAAUAACAAAUGAGUUUUGAGAAAUUAUUCCACAAAUGUCAUUUUGCAAAAUGUAUUAAAGACGAUUGGGUACAAGAUUAGUAAUCAUGAGUAGUGUAACAACAUCAACAAAAUAACUAUAAUCCAUAGUUGUUGAACAUAAUUCAAAUUUCGUUUGCAAAAACAAAAGAAAAAGAAAACAGACUUACAAUAAUUCAGCCUUCAAUCCUGAAGUCCUACUCAAAGAGCCAAACUUGAAUGCAAGCUUUCUGAAAUCUUCCAAACAAUACAGAUAAAAAGGUAACAUCCUAGUCAGAAACGAACCGAGGUGCAAGCUUUCUUAGAAACCCAGAUGACAAAAUCAACAAAAGAGAAUGGAAAAAUGACUUACACUUUUAAGGCAUGCUCAAAUCUUGAUCUAAAAUUUGUGGUGGGUCGAUUGUUGGCCACCAACUCUAAAUGAAGAAUUCAUCAGAAACUAGAAAUUUAAACAAAGAAUUUUCCAAAAUCAACAUUUACUAAAAACCAGUUACUUGGUUAUCAUGCAUGAUGGCUUGCCAAAGACUGAAUUAAGGAAUGCACAACUUUACUUUUUAUGAUUAUUUUCAAUGAUAGCUAAAAGGUCAGAUCCAAAUGAAAAUAAAACUUAGGACUUCACAAAACCAAUUAAAAAUCUAAUUCCAAAGUUACAAACACCCACCAAAUGAUUCCAGAUAAAGUUUUAAACUCAACGUCAGACCCAAAUGAAAUUAAAAGUUAGGACUUCACAAAACCAAUUGAAAAUCUGAUUCCAAAGUUCCAAACACCCACCAAAUGAUUCCGGAUAAAGUUUAAACUCAAAAACCCAACAGAAACAAAAGCAUUGGUGUGAAUUAACUGUAUCUAAUUGAAGAAACUAAAACAAAAGUAAAGCAAAGUACAUACCUCAAAAUGUCAAGCAACUAAGUUCUUCCUCCGACGACCCAAAAUUCUGAAAAUUCCACACAAAAAAAGAGUAAGCCCAUUAGCAAUUCAUAGCUUUCAAAAUUAGCAAAAACUUGGGCAACAAUAAAGACGCGUUGAGAACCAUCACUCUUUCUCCUUAUAUAUUUGAAAAGAUAUUUUAUAAGCAGUUUAUGUAGUCAUUCAGAUCAUGUUGCAUAUAAAUUCCUUUUCUACAGAGUUCAUAAAAGUAUGGCAGUUUAUGGUAUCUGUUGAAUGACAUGGUUGAAAGAUUUCAAAUUGAUAUAUUCAAUUUAUGUGUAAAACUAUAACAUAUAGCUAAAGCUAUUGGGUCUAUAUAUCCAUAUCAAUCAUGUCGUAAUUGAAUGUUUAUCAAUGUAAAUAGAUGAUUUCAGUCAUGUGAUAACAUGUUUCUUGAUAGUAUACGCUGAAGAUUGGUCUAAGUGGGAUAUGAAUCGACCAAAAUCUUAAGAAGAGACUCUUUUAACUUUUAACCAAAAAUGAACACCACAGUACUACACUAAGUUUUAUCAUGCAUAAAAUACACAACACUGAUUGCCACUUUUAGAAAACAACAAAACACUCAAAACCCAGAAACAGAAACACACUUUAGGACUCAAACUCCCCAAAAACAUAUGAGAGAGAUAGAGAGAUAGAGAGAGAGAGAGAGAGAGAGAGAGAGAGAGAGAAUAAAAACAAUAUUAUUUUUCACACAAACUCAAAAUUGCUUAUAAAAUUACAAAUCAAAACAAAUGAAAGCAAAUCCAAAAUUGCCCUAAAUUAAAUCUGAUUAGUUAAAUGUUUGUUGCCCUACAAAUGUCAUUACACCCGACAAAACUUGCUUUGAAGUUGAUAUUUUGGUCAAUCCGGGGGAAAAUGAGCUAUUGCUUUUGGAGCAGUUGUCAUGGAGAUUACCAUCUCCCUGUUGAAUGAUCUAAAAAAGGACUUACAGCUUCUGGUGGCCAUAAUAAUUUAGGAGGUCCUUCGCUCCAGAUUUUCUCAAUAACUUUCCUUUUCGUGGCUGGUAGGAUUGCAACUCCAAGAAUUGCUCUGAAGAGAUAUAUGCAAACAAAAUCAAACUAAAACUAAGCUGUUGGAAGAAAUUUAGAAAACACAAACACCACAACUCAGAGUUAAAGUCAACAGAAACCAAAUGGUAGAAGUUGAAAAAAAUAUAUGGUGAUGAAUCGAGAACUUCAUUAAACUAACAGCAAUAAAAUCUCAUAUAAUCUGUCAAAAACCAAAAAAGAGAGAGGUAAUUUCAAAACCUUGUAACGCUGAGGCGUCGUACAGUUGUAGUAAUAAUAUAUGGUUGAUGCACCUGUUGCUCAAUCAAAUCCUCUGUCUGGCUAAAAAAAUAAAAAUCUAUAAAUACAUUCACGUCCAAUUUAUGAGAAAUCAUGGGAAAGUAAAUGCACUGAUAACGGAAUUAUGAAUAUGAACUUGCCAAAAAGAAAAAGAAAACUUCUUAUAGUGUGCCAAGAACAUCCUCCUACUCCUAGCAAUUUUUAAUGGCAUUGUCCACUUCUCAAUUCAUAAUUCAACCAAUAACUCAAAGUCUAUAGUGUUUGAAAAAGUGAUAUCUUAGUUGAUCACGAUGAUAAUUAAGCAGAUUAAAUGAUGACCCAUAAAGCAUACAAAUUCAGAAAAGAAAAGGUUCAAAACUGUCAUGAGAAAAUACAGAAUAUAUAAACAGGAAAUCAAAAAAAGAGAAGUGAAAAAGGAAGAAACAACCAAACAAAAUUAUUAGGUUUGGGAUAUACCUUUAUCUGAAACGCCACAAUCAUCAAAGUCAAACUUAAACAACAACAACAACAACAACAACAACAAAGCCUUUUCCCACUAAGUGGGAAAGUCAAACUUAAACAAUCCAAAAAUUUGUGGAAAAUACCAAUAAAUGCUCAACUAAAAACGAAAGAAACGUAGAAUAAGUUUACCUGUUCUGCCCCUAAUUAAACUGGAAUACAAUUCACCACUAAUAUUCCUUGGUGUAUGCUUUUCGCAGACGAUAUAGUGUUGAUAGAUGAAACUCAGGAAGGGGUAAAUGCAAAGCUUAACCUUUGGAGAGAAGUGUUGGAAUCUAAAGGUCUUCGCCUAAGCCGAUCAAAGACAGAAUAUAUGGAGUGCAAGUUCAGUGCAAAUGGAGGCCAAAACGAGUUAGGGGUGAGGAUCGGAGAUCAAGAAAUACUAAAGAGCGACCGUUUUCGUUACCUAGGAUCUAUCUUGCAAAAGAACGGAGAAUUAGAUGGAGAUCUCAACCAUAGAAUACAAGCUGGAUGGAUGAAGUGGAAGAGUGCAUCCGGCGUGUUAUGUGACCGCCGUAUGCCACUGAAGCUCAAGGGAAAAUUUUAUAAGGACGGCAAUAAGGCCGGCGAUGCUGUAUGGCACAGAAUGUUGGGCGGUGAAACAUCAAACACGUACACAAAAUGGGUGUAGCGGAGAUGAGGAUGCUUCGUUGGAUGUGUGGGCACACGAGAAAGGAUAAGAUUAGGAAUGAGGAUAUCCGGGGUAAAGUAGGAGUAGCCGAAAUUGAAGGAAAGAUGAGAGAAAAUCGGUUACGGUGGUUUGGACAUGUGCAAAGAAAGGCCUACUGACGCUCCGAUUAGAAGAUGCGACUAUGGGACAGAGGUUCAGGGCCGAAGGGGUAGAGGAAGACCUAGGAAAACUUUGGAAGAGACUCUAAGAAAAGACUUAGAGUACUUGGAUCUAACGAAGGACAUGACACAGGAUCGAGCACAAUGGCGUUCUAAGAUUCAUAUAGCCGAUCCCACUCAGUGACUUGGAUUUUCCAAGUCUCCAACCGAGAAGUUUUCCUCACUCGGAAAAUUAAGGGAACACUACCCCAACCUACAUGCUCCACUCAGAAAGCUUCAACAUACAAGCUUCAACAAAAGAAAAUUCAAAGAACUUAGCGAAGAAGGCUUUGGUGUAUUAACACAAUACGUUGAAAUGAAGGAAAGCUUAUUUAUUGAUAUCCCCGAUAAGCUACAAAUAUGUACAUAUACAUGAGUCAAAAUAAACACACAAGAGGGAGCCUUCACAAAGGUUGCUUAGGAGAAGUCUCAGCAGUCGGUAGAGCCCCAGAAAGAGAAGGCACCGGAGGGGGAUCAUUUGGAGCCUCAGUACUGGACAGAACCCUAGAAGGAGGAGGCAUCAGAGGUUGAUCAUUUGGAGCUUCAUUACGCGGUACAGCCCCAGAAGACGAAGGCAAUAAAUGCCUUUGGAACAAACCCACAAAUCUCUGAUGAUCAAGUAAAACCUGACCAUCAGUUUCCUUCAUCUGGUCAAGCUUCCUCUUCAUGUUUGUAGCAUAGUCAUGUGCGAGCCGGUGCAACUGUUUAUUCUCAUGCUUGAGCCCUCUAAUCUCCUGUUUGAGACUCAUCACUUCAGCCGCCAAUGAUUCAACUUGGCGGGUUCGAGCAAAUAGGCGUUGGGCCAUAUUAGACACAGAACCUGCACACUGAACACUGAGAGCCAGCGAAUCCUUAACAGCUAACUCAUCAGACCGUUUGGAAAGUAGUCUGUUAUCUUUGGGAGUGAGAAGGUUCCUGGCCACCACCGCAGCGGUCAUAUCAUUCUUCAUCACGGAAUCCCCAACGGUAAGAGGACCAGUAGGGGAGACGAAGGAUGGGCGCCAUAUGUUGUCUGGAGAAGGCGGGGCUGCCUCUUCAACAAGGUUCAAGUCAAAACGACGGUCGGAGGGGCCAGACAUUUUCAAAGGUGUUGAAGAGAGAAGAGGUCGGACAAAUCAAGAUCUUAGAAGUGCAAGAAUGAAGCUUCUACUGGUGGAGAUUCAAGUGUGCUUUGGAACUUAAUGCCAGCCCCUAUAAAAAUCUGCACUCGACGGAGCUUCAGAAAAUCGAAGAGGCGCCUGCUCAGAAAUCGAAGAGGCGUUUGCUUUCUCAAAAGCUGGGCUGCUUAGAGAUCACGAGGGUUGAUCUCAGAAAUCGAAGAGGCGUUUGCUUUCUCAAAAGUUGGGCUGCUCAAAGACCACGAAGGCCGAUCUCAGAAAAUCGAAGAGGCGCUCGCUUUCUCAAAAGCUGGGCUCCCCAGAGACCACGAGGGCCGAUCUCAGAAAUCGAAGAGGCACCUACUUUUCCAGCCUUGUCAGCACCUGUCACACGCACACUCAGCUUUGCGGAAAUUAUGGGCAUUCUGUCGAAGACUUCUGGGGAAGUAGAAAACACAUGAAUCUUACUGUUCAAUCACCCACUUCCCACACGCAACAAUAGCUCAUGGGUACCACAGAUAACUUUGCCAAAGUUCUCUGCCAAAGUUGAGCACGUGAAGCUUGCAGCUCCCACUACAUCGCUCUGACCAAGAAGGGUAAAAGAAUAGCAAAGAAACAGCACUAACAAAGUUUAGACCCAUAAAUUUUGAAGGUCUAGCUACCAUAUUAUUACCCACAAGGGUAAAGGAACAGUACCACUGCUGGAUAAUUGGAAAGUCCCUGUGUGUCAACCUCUGUGCUUCGUGGCAAGGUAGACUAGCAAACAUGCCCAACCUUUACUCACAUUCGAGAAAACACUCCCAAUAAGAUUGCUUGCUCCAAAAUCGAAGAGGCACCGUCCUCCGAAUCUCGAGAGCCAGACUCCCAACAUGACUACUUUCUUAAAAAUCGAAGAGAGGGUAAAGGAACAGUACCAUUGCUGGAUAAUUGGAAAGUCCCUGUGUGUCAACCUCUGUGCUUCGUGGCAAGGUAGACUAGCAAACAUGCCCAACCUUUACUCACAUUCGAGAAAACACUCCCAACAAGAUUGCUUGCUCCAAAAUCGAAGAGGCACCCGCCCUCCGAAUCUCGAGAGCCAGACUCCCAACAUGAUUACUUUCUCAAAAAUCGAAGAGACACUGCUCCCCGAAUCUUCGAGAGCCAGACCCCCAGCAUGAUUGCUUUCUCAAAAAUCGAUGAGGCAUCGUUCUCCGAAUCAAUCGAAGAGGCGCUCGCUUUCUCAAAAGCUGGGCUGCUCAGAGACCACGAGGGCCGAUCUCAGAAAUCGAAGAGGCACCUACUUUUCUAGCCUUGUCAGCACCUGUCACACGCACACUCAGCUUUGCAGAAAUUAUGGGCAUUCUGUCGAAGACUUCUGGUGAAGUAGAAAGCACAUGAAUCUUACUGUUCAAUCACCCACUUCCCACACGCAACAAUAGCUCAUGGGUACCACAGAUAACUUUGCCAAAGUUCUCUGCCAAAGUUGAGCACGUGAAGCUUGCAGCUCCCACUACAUCGCUCUGACCAAGAAAGGUAAAAGAAUAGCAAAGAAACAGCACUAACAAAGUUUAGACACAUAAAUUUUUGAAGGUCUAGCUACCAUAUUAUUACCCACAAGGGUAAAGGAACAGUACCACUGCUGGAUAAUUGGAAAGUCCCUGUGUGUCAACCUCUGUGCUUCGUGGCAAGGUAGACUAGCAAACAUGCCCAACCUUUACUCACAUUCGAGAAAACACUCCCAACAAGAUUGCUUGCUCCAAAAUCGAAGAGGCACCGUCCUCCGAAUCUCGAGAGCCAGACUCCCAACAUGACUACUUUCUCAAAAUCGAAGAGAGGGUAAAGGAACAGUACCAUUGCUGGAUAAUUGGAAAGUCCCUGUGUGUCAACCUUUGUGCUUCGUGGCAAGGUAGACUAGCAAACAUGCCCAACCUUUACUCACAUUCGAGACAACACUCCCAACAAGAUUGCUUGCUCCAAAAUCGAAGAGGCACCCGCCCUCCGAAUCUCGAGAGCCAGACUCCCAACAUGAUUACUUUCCUCAAAAAUCGAAGAGACACUGCUCUCCGAAUCUCGAGAGCCAGACCCCCAGCAUGAUUGCUUUCUCAAAAAUCGAAGAGGCAUCGUUCUCCGAAUCUCGAGAGCCAGAUACCACAGACCACUUUUUCAAAGUGCUCUGACAGAGUUAAAACAUGUGAAACUGGCAGCUCCCACUACCGUGCUAUGACCAAGCAGGGUAAAGGAAUAGCAUUACUACUUGUUGUUAGGGAGACUCCUAUAUAUGUCGACCUCCAUCCCCAACGGACAGGCAGACCUGCAAAAAUGCUCAACCCUUCAUCAUAUCUGAGAGGGCACUCCCAACGAAGCCUUUCGAAAUAUUCAGCUUUCUUUCCCCCCGAUAAUACCUCUGCAAACAAGCUAUACUACUAGAGCAAGAAUAUCUCAUAUCAUCAGGGUUAAAAGCAAGAGUAUCCCAUAUCAUGCUUUUUCCCUGUCUUUUCCUUUGGCCUUGUUUUUUACCUGCAAGACAAGGAGAAAGAGAGAGCAAUCAGUCAGCACUUGGAAUCAAGCUUCCAGCCAGGAACUGACUGCCUGGAACCCCUUACCUGAUUACUUACCUGGCAUUGCUCUCGAGUACUCAUCUUCAACAUCUUAUGUUUCCAGGGAAGAUUCCGCAUCUGCUUGAGGAACAGAUAGGGCAAGUGCGAAGGAUACAAGGAAGCAUGUGGAGACAAGCGUAACAGCACACGUGCCGAUACAUCCAUUACUCUGUCAAAAGCAAAAGUAUCCCAUAUCAGCAGGGUGGAACGUACUCUAGAUUUGAUGGACUUGUUUUGACCCUCAAAUUCUUCAGUCGGCCUUAUACUCUGGAGGAAACCAGAAAACCCUCCAGCUCAGUUCAAGAAUAAGCCUGUGGAAAGUUACUUCUUCAAAAGCAAAAGUAUCUCUCAUAUCAUCUCUUCUCAUUUUUUCUUCUCUUUAUCCUUCAUGCUGCUGCAAGAUGGGGAGAAGGUGAACAAUCAGUCGGAGCUCUGAUUGCUUACCUUGUCUGUCACCUCUUUCAGCAGACCCCCUAGCUCGGCGACUUGGGGGACUCCUACUACAUGGUUUGUAUCGCGCUUGACCAAGCCUGAAACUACAAGUAAGCUUCAAGUGAAAUUGAUACAUUACCUUGUGCAUCUCCACCAGUUAAAGAUACCACCCCUGGAUGGAGGAAGAGUACUUCCAGAGAAGAUGCCACAUCUACCUAUGAGACAGAUAAGGCAAGUCAAGACGACACCACACUCCGAUACUUAGAAGUUUCGUGAUUACGAGAUCAUUCUCCCACAAUAUUUCCUAAUGUCAUUUGUACUAAAUCAUUCACUUGUACUCACUAAAGGAGAGCUUGAACCUAUGUACUUGUGUAAACCCUUCACAAUUAAUGAGAACUCUUCUAUUCCGUGGACGUAGCCAAUCUGGGUGAACCACGUACAUCUUGUGUUUGCUUUCCUAUCUCUAUCCAUUUAUAUACUUAUCCACACUAAUGACCGGAGCAAUCUAGCGAAGAUCACAAAAAAGCGACCGUUUUCGCUACCUAGGAUCUAUCUUGCAAGAGAACGGAGAAUUAGAUGGAGAUCUCAACCAUAGAAUACGAGCUGGAUGGAUGAAGUGUAAGAAUGCAUCCGGCGUGUUGUGUGACCGUCGUAGGCCACUGAAGCUCAAGGGAAAAUUUUAUAGGACGGCAAUAAGGCCAGCGAUGUUGUAUGGCACAGAAGAAUGUUGGGUGGUGAAGCAUCAACACGUACACAAAAUGGGUGUAGCGGAGAUGAGGAUGCUUCGUGGGAUGUGUGGGCACACGAGAAAGGAUAAGAUUGGGAAUGAGGAUAUCCGAGGUAAAGUAGGAGUAGCCGAAAUUGUAGGAAAGAUGAGAGAAAAUCGGCUCCGGUGAUUUGGACAUGUGCAAAGAAGGCUGAAUGACGCUCCGGUUCGAAGAUGUGACUACGGGACAGAGGUUCAGGGUUGAAGGGGUAGAGGAAGACCUAGGAAAACUUUGGAAGAGACUAUAAGAAAAGACUUAGAGUACUUGGAUCUAACGGAGGACAUGACACAAAACCGAGCGCAAUGGCGUUCUAGGAUUCAUAUAGCCGACCCCACUUAGUGGGAAAAGGCUUUGUUGUUGUUGUUGUUGUAUUCAAUGAAGAUGCUUAAAGGAGACAGUAAUAUUAGCAAUGAAGGAAUUUAAUUGAUAACUAAAACUGCAAAACAAAAUGACUACAAUAGGUUCAAAACAGAAACUCGUCCGAUAGAUAUCUCAUCUUUAGGCAAUGCCUUGUUCCCUUUUUUUUUUUUUUUUUUUUUUUUUUUUUUUGUUGCAUGUCUUGUGAACUUCAUGUAAAUCAACAAAAUUGAUACCUUAACCAACAAUGGAGAGGUAAAAAGUUAAAAACAGAAGGAAUGUCUUCAGUUUUGUAAUGGAUUUUGCAAGUCAAAUUCUGUUCGAGAAUUUGCAACCCAGAAAGUCCCAGCAAUUAUUAACAAUCACAGAUAAGCACCGAAUGAAGGCCAAUCUAAUAAGCCAAAAUAUGUAGGGCACUAAAGAAAUUAUUGCCCAGUAACAAUGAUAGAUAAGCACAUGUGAAACUAAAGAAAAUUUUCAUUACUAUCAACUCCAAAAAAAAUUACCUAUGCAAUCCAAAAAAUGUUGAUACAGAGUUGGAGUAUCGAUGCCUGAAAUUGGUAUUUGAACCACCAACUACCUCCGUGAAUAUGCUUGUCACUUAAUGGUUUGGGUUGAAGUUGUGAAAGGAAAUGUAAUUUCUUAAA